rnacentral:rRNA from 1 species
ACUGCUCAGUAACACGUGGGUAACCUGCCUCAUAGAGGGGAAUAGCCUUCCGAAAGGAAGAUUAAUACCGCAUAAGAUUGUAGUAUCGCAUGAUACAGCAAUUAAAGGAGUAAUCCGCUAUGAGAUGGACCCGCGUCGCAUUAGCUAGUUGGUGAGGUAACGGCUCACCAAGGCGACGAUGCGUAGCCGACCUGAGAGGGUGAUCGGCCACAUUGGGACUGAGACACGGCCCAGACUCCUACGGGAGGCAGCAGUGGGGAAUAUUGCACAAUGGGGGAAACCCUGAUGCAGCAACGCCGCGUGAGUGAUGAAGGUCUUCGGAUUGUAAAACUCUGUCUUCAGGGACGAUAAUGACGGUACCUGAGGAGGAAGCCACGGCUAACUACGUGCCAGCAGCCGCGGUAAUAC